rfam:Vigna radiata var. radiata cultivar VC1973A chromosome 5, whole genome shotgun sequence
GUCGAUAUGUCCGAGUGGUUAAGGAGGCAGACUUGAAAUCUGCUGGGUUUCGCCCGCGCAGGUUCGAAUCCUGCUGUCGACG